UGUCUUCGGGGCGGGGUGAAAGUCCCCACCGGCGGUGAUGCGGUCCUUGACCGAUGAGCCCGCGAGCCUUUUCUGGCAAUUCCGGUGUGAUUCCGGAGCCGACGGUUAAAGUCCGGAUGGGAGAAGACG
rnacentral:ncRNA from 1 species